AAAUUGAAGAGUUUGAUCAUGGCUCAGAUUGAACGCUGGCGGCAGGCCUAACACAUGCAAGUCGAGCGGAAACGAGUUAUCUGAACCUUCGGGGAACGAUAACGGCGUCGAGCGGCGGACGGGUGAGUAAUGCCUAGGAAAUUGCCCUGAUGUGGGGGAUAACCAUUGGAAACGAUGGCUAAUACCGCAUGAUGCCUACGGGCCAAAGAGGGGGACCUUCGGGCCUCUCGCGUCAGGAUAUGCCUAGGUGGGAUUAGCUAGUUGGUGAGGUAAGGGCUCACCAAGGCGACGAUCCCUAGCUGGUCUGAGAGGAUGAUCAGCCACACUGGAACUGAGACACGGUCCAGACUCCUACGGGAGGCAGCAGUGGGGAAUAUUGCACAAUGGGCGCAAGCCUGAUGCAGCCAUGCCGCGUGUGUGAAGAAGGCCUUCGGGUUGUAAAGCACUUUCAGUCGUGAGGAAGGUGGUAGUGUUAAUAGCACUAUCAUUUGACGUUAGCGACAGAAGAAGCACCGGCUAACUCCGUGCCAGCAGCCGCGGUAAUACGGAGGGUGCGAGCGUUAAUCGGAAUUACUGGGCGUAAAGCGCAUGCAGGUGGUUUGUUAAGUCAGAU
rnacentral:rRNA from 1 species